AUAUACAUAUAUAUAUAUAUAUAACUGUUAUUUGAGUCACUAUACUGCAGUUGAGAAUCUGAAUGAAGAAAGCUCUCAUACAAUGUCCCAUUCAACAUUUGUGAGACCUCAUCCCAGUUCUGAAUUUGGACUGAUAAAACUCCACUGUGUAUCUUAAACCCGACGACUUGUGAGCUCUCCAUAUAGCAAUCUCAGAGACUCUUGAACUUCUUCGAGUUUCGUGCGAUUACCCACAACAUCUUCGUGAUAAACAACAUUGUGGCGAGCGCUCUUGAAGUACUUCAUUGCCCUAGUAGCUUUAUAAUCUACAUGCUUCAGGUCGGAUAGCAAGGUGGUGGUAUUUAUCCUUGGCUUGUAUUUUGCAAGUACCUUAGCCUGCAAUGCUCAUCUUAUCAACUUUGAGGCCAAUUGAAUUCACUGAGAUUUCAGAAAGAAAGAGAUUGCACCUCUGCAGAUGAGCGGACAUAAGACUUGCGGAUUCUAUUGAGUGGUUUUUUACCUUUGUUAAAGGAAUUUGCGAGUACUGAUAUCAUUCUGCGUAGCAAAUUCCUACUGAAUAGAAAGAUGGCAUGGACUCCUUUCUUAUUGAAAUACUCCACUAUACCUUCAUGAUGUUCCAGCACUCCCUGCAAAAAUGUAUGAAGCAUAAUCCUAUAUUAUUCCUUGAAUAGAAGAAAGAAUAAUAAUAAUAAUAAUUGAUUGCAUCACUUGCCUGAUUAAGCAUCCAUUUGAUCCAACAGCAGCAUUGCACUCGUUCUUUGAAGCACUGCUGAACCAAUGAAGAUUGUAUGCUUUAUCCAGUGUCCUCAAAAUUGCAGAAACAUUCGCCCUCCGACCUUUUGCCCCGAAUAUUUCUCCAUUAUAGCUAACAUUAAUAUGAAUAUUUAACAAAGUCUCAAACCAACCACUUCCGGAUCUCUGCAUGGACAAGAUAGCAAAGUAUCUUGCAGGAUUGGAGGCACAUUCCUCCCUGCUUAUAUGGAUCAGAGUCAUUAUCUGCAAGAAAACAGGAACAUAAACCUGGAUUUUAAGCCUGUUUAGGUACCUGCUAUUUGUUUCAGGUUCUGGGUAAUGCAUGUAGGGAAGUUCCCAUGGUUCUGCAUUUGAAGUAUUACACUGUUGGUAGAAUAUUUUGAAAUUAAGGAGUGAGGCUGUUGUAUGGGGCCCUAUUUGCUUUAAACAUAUGAAGCAAAUGUAGACUCCACAAACCAUAGCAAAUGCUAACACCACCAAUCUCAAUGCUAAUGGUGAUUUCUUGGGAGCCUUUAUGAUCAAUGAACCCUAUCUUAACAGAGAUGUGCCUCCCACUCAUCAAUAUUCAUAGAGCAUGUUCUCCUGUUCCUUUUAUGGUUACAAUACACGUGGACCUCGACCAACAAAGGAGUAUGGGCAAUAUUUGUAUAUACUGAAGACGAUCUAUGACCCCUGGUACGGUUGUCCGACUCCUCCAAUGAAUCAUCCGGCCUGCUAGAUGGAGGUCCAAAU
rnacentral:misc_RNA from 1 species